GGAUAACUUACCCUUAGGACUGGGAUAACUCUGGGAAACUGGGGAUAAUACCGGAUAUUAGGCUAUGGCUGGAAUGCUUUGCCUUUGAAAUGUUUCUUGUAUUCGCCUAAGGAUAGAUCUGCGGCUGAUUAGGUCGUUGGUGGGGUAAUGGCCCACCAAUCCUAUGAUCGGUACGGGUUGUGAGAGCAAGAGCCCGGAGAUGGAACCUGAGACAAGGUUCCAGACCCUACGGGGUGCAGCAGGCGCGAAACCUCCGCAAUGUACGAAAGUGCGACGGGGGGAUCCCAAGUGUUGUUCUUAAUAGGAUAACUUUUCAUUAGUGUAAAAAGCUUUUAGAAUAAGAGCUGGGCAAGACCGGUGCCAGCCGCCGCGGUGACACCGGCAGCUCAAGUGGUAGCUGUUUUUAUUGGGCCUAAAGCGUUCGUAGCCGGUUUGAUAAGUCUUUGGUGAAAGCUUAUGGCUUAACUGUAAGAAUUGCUGAAGAUACUGUCAGACUUGAAGUCGGGAGAGGUUAGAGGUACUACCGGGGUAGGGGUGAAAUCCUAUAAUCCUGGGAGGACCACCUGUGGCGAAGGCGUCUAACUGGAACGAUCUUGACGGUGAGUAACGAAAGCCAGGGGCGCGAACCGGAUUAGAUACCCGGGUAGUCCUGGCCGUAAACGAUGUGGACUUGGUGUUGGAAUGGCUUCGAGUUGUUCCAGUGC
rnacentral:rRNA from 1 species